rnacentral:misc_RNA from 1 species
GAUGAAGAACGUAGCGAAAUGCGAUAAGUAGUGUGAAUUGCAGAAUUCAGUGAAUCAUCGAAUCUUUGAACGCACAUUGCGCCCCUUGGUAUCCCGAGGGGCAUGCCUGUUCGAGCGUCAUUUCACCACUCAAGCCUGGCUUGGUGUUGGGCGACGUCCCCUUUAGGGACGCGCCUUGAAACGCUCGGCGGCGUGGCACCGGCUUUAAGCGUAGCAGAAUCUUUCGCUUUGGAAGUCGGGGCCCCGCCUGCCGGAAUACCUACUCGUAAGGUUGACCUCGGAUCAGGCAGGGAUACCCGCUGAACUUAAGCAUAUCAAUAAGCGGAGGA